rnacentral:rRNA from 1 species
GAACGAACGCUGGCGGCAUGCCUAACACAUGCAAGUCGAACGAGACCUUCGGGUCUGGUGGCGCACGGGUGCGUAACGCGUGGGAACCUGCCCUUAGGUUCGGAAUAACUCCCCGAAAGGGGGGCUAAUACCGGAUAAUGUCGUCGGACCAAAGAUUUAUCGCCUUUGGAUGGGCCCGCGUUGGAUGAGCUAGUUGGUAGGGUAAAAGCCUACCAAGGCGACGAUCCAUAGCUGGUCUGAGAGGCUGAUCAGCCACACUGGGACUGAGACACGGCCCAGACUCCUACGGGAGGCAGCAGUGGGGAAUAUUGGACAGUGGGCGAAAGCCUGAUCCAGCAAUGCCGCGUGAGUGAUGAAGGCCUUAGGGUUGUAAAGCUCUUUUACCCGGGAUGAUAAUGACAGUACCGGGAGAAUAAGCUCCGGCUAACUCCGUG